CCUACGGGAGGCAGCAGUGGGGAAUAUUGCACAAUGGGGGAAACCCUGAUGCAGCGACGCCGCGUGAGUGAAGAAGUAUUUCGGUACGUAAAGCUCUAUCAGCAGGGAAGGAAAUGACGGUACCUGACUAAGAAGCCCCGGCUAACUACGUGCCAGCAGCCGCGGUAAUACGUAGGGGGCAAGCGUUAUCCGGAUUUACUGGGUGUAAAGGGAGCGUAGACGGCAGCGCAAGUCUGGAGUGAAAUCCCAUGGCUUAACCAUGGAACUGCUUUGGAAACUGUGCAGCUAGAGUGCAGGAGAGGUAAGCGGAAUGCCUAGUGUAGCGGUGAAAUGCGUAGAUAUUAGGAGGAACACCAGUGGCGAAGGCGGCUUACUGGACUGUAACUGACGUUGAGGCUCGAAAGCGUGGGGAGCAAACAGGAUUAGAUACCCCUGUAGUC
rnacentral:rRNA from 1 species